GUCCUGGAAAGAAGGAAGCAAGUGCACAACCGCUACGUGACUGGUUUUCCCAUUAGGAGAGCAGGGUUUUUUCCAAGGAAGACGUUGCUAAGACACCGGUGUUUACUGCACACAAUAGCGUUUCAUCCGAGUGUGUUGUAAAAGUUUGGAGUGAACAGGAAAACAAGGACAAAAAUAAAACACAGGGUCUCUAAAGGGGGAGAUGAAAGGAUGGAUGGCAUCGAAAAAAAAGUCCGUCCUGGAAAAAAGCCCAGAUCUGUGGAGCCACCUCCUCCCAGGCCUUCCCCAUGGUCCUCAGGCGCCCCAGCUCUUCAAAGGCCAAAGGAAGCAACUGUUUCCUGCCGACUAUAAAUAGGCGGCUGUGAACUUCUGAAUGGAGCUGGACUGGAGCUGCGGCCGGGCCUCACCUCUCGCAGCUUGUCUGAGGCAGCGGAGGCGACCCGCACCCACAGCUGG